rnacentral:rRNA from 1 species
GAUGAACGCUGGCGGCGUGCCUAAUACAUGUAAGUCGAGCGAACAGACGAGGAGCUUGCUCCUCUGACGUUAGCGGCGGACGGGUGAGUAACACGUGGAUAACCUACCUAUAAGACUGGGAUAACUUCGGGAAACCGGAGCUAAUACCGGAUAAUAUAUUGAACCGCAUGGUUCAAUAGUGAAAGACGGUUUUGCUGUCACUUAUAGAUGGAUCCGCGCCGCAUUAGCUAGUUGGUAAGGUAACGGCUUACCAAGGCAACGAUGCGUAGCCGACCUGAGAGGGUGAUCGGCCACACUGGAACUGAGACACGGUCCAGACUCCUACGGGAGGCAGCAGUAGGGAAUCUUCCGCAAAGGGCGAAAGCCUGACGGAGCAACGCCGCGUGAGUGAUGAAGGUCUUCGGAUCGUAAAACUCUGUUAUUAGGGAAGAACAAAUGUGUAAGUAACUAUGCACGUCUUGACGGUACCUAAUCAGAAAGCCACGGCUAACUACGUG